GGUCAACCAAUGCAAUGCACUCUUUUACCAUCUGUAACAUCAUCGUUAAUAAAACCAUCUGGAAGAUUUACAAACAGACUAUCUCCGACGGUAUACGGACCCGGAAAAAACAGCGCUUCCACUUCUCAGCAUCAGAUAUCUCGUUCAUCAAUAACAAAUAACACUCCCGGAAGACCCGUCAAUUUUACCGUCAGAAUGCCUUAAAAACCAUAUUACUGUAUUUUGCUGUAAAAUACAAGACUAUAUCCUGCUUCCAGUUUUAAAUUAGUGUUAUAAACAUGUAGAUAAAAAAUUAUCUUCUGAA